UGCAGAGUAGGGGCUCAGGGUAAGCUUCUCAUCUCGGUAAAAAAAGGGGUAAGCUUCUCAUUUUCCAUGUAUACAAGGAGAACAAGGUAGAUUCUAAAGAUUGAGAGAUAAAUUGUAUUCUAUGUCUUGUUUUACGGGUGUGAGUCACGGAGUCUGAGGCUUAUACAUGAUCUGCCUCUGAUCCUCCAGUGGCAAUGAUAUAAAGCAAUAAUAGCCGAGGCUAAACAACGGAUCGAGUCUGAUGCAUGAAUUCCAUCAUGGGAAGAGAGAUUUCGAGCAUGCCGUUGAAUAGCAGACUUGCAGAAAACACGGGCUGAUAGCAGCGAGUGACACAUGUGACUGCAAAACAUGUCGUGUGAUCUAUACACGAAUUGUUAGUCCAUGUACGAACCAACAUCAAAGAGCAAAAUCAAUAUGAAACAGAAGUGUGCUGUGAAACGAUAAUUUAUGUUGUUGCCCUUGGGCCUUGGCGAAAGUGGUUUGAAAUUUGAAAUCAUGAUUAAUAUAGUAUUUUCUUUCAUAUAUCACCAAAAAAUUAUAUGCACUAUAUUUACACGGGCGUUGAACAAAAUAACUUAA